CCUGAUAAAAAUGGGAAUUUUGGACACAGACACAGUCACGCACAGAGAGAUGACUAUAUGAAGAGACCCAGGGAGAACGCCACGGGAAGAUGAAGGCAGAGAUCAGGAUGAUGAAUCUACAAGUCAAGGCAUGCCAAAUAUUGCCAGCAAGCCACUAGAAGCUAGGACAGAGGCGUGGAACAGAUUCUCCCUCACAGCCCUCAGAAGGAACCAACCCUGCUGAUGGGACAGCUUGAUUUCAGACUGCUAGCCUCUGGAAACGUGAGGGGAUACAUUUCUGUUUAAGCCAGUCAGCUCGUGGUACUUUGUUAUGGCAGCCCUAGCAGUAUUUGAUAUCUUGAUUAGGGUGGAUAUAACGGAUGACGUUGAAAUUCACACAAAUCCAUACCAGGUUGUGAUCCUCAAUUUUUAAGAAUUAUUUCAGCACUUUCUCUUUGCCAUAACAAUAAAAAAGCUUGUUUGGGGCAAUGAAGAGGUGAAAGCACACGUGAGUAAGCAAGAAAAUUGACCUAGAGGAAGUGAUCAAUCUAAACAGCAGAGAAGUAGUGCUUCUGGAAAAACCCUAAUCACACUCAUUCGCUUUGCAGUAAUGAAGUGGAAAAGGCACCUUAUCAAGACAAGUUGGAAUGGGGAAACUUCUGAAGCCUCCUCUGGUCCACCUGCUCUUGAUGUCACACGUGGCAGCUGUCCCUGCAUUGUUCUGAGUCACAUUUAGGCUACCGCUGCUGCUGCUGCUGAUGAUACUGAUGCACCAGACUGCUGAGGCUCAUCUUUCUUCUGCAACAUCUCUUCUGAGCUAGGCUCCUGCACCCACUGCUUUGAUCCACCUUGUGAAGGGUACAGUUUUAUUAGAUUUAUCUUAGGAAGAGGGAAGCUAACGAAUUAAGAAAUUUCCAAGGAUAGCAUAAAACCUGGAGGAACGAGAAACAAAAGGAGCUCUCUGUUCAGAUUCCUGUCUCUGAAAUCCAGGAACAAAACAAAUUAGAAGAGCCUAAGAGUUUUGAAGAUUUUAAGUCUCUGAGCAAUCCAAAUCCUUUCGAAGUUGAAGAAUAUCUUUUUCUCAACAAACAGAAGCAUCCUUUUUAUGUUAAUACAGUCAUGCAAAGAAACAAUGACAGAAUAGUUGGUAUGGGAGUAAUGCCCUGAAAGAGAUGAGUCACUGUCUGAGGCAGAAACCGGAAGGCGUAAAGCUCCCUGUGGGGAAUACAACAAAGACGUGGGAACCAUUAUAGGACGAUCGACGUUGCCUCUGCCAUCACCUGGGUUUGUGAAUGGCUUCAUCAGCACUUCAUGCUAACACUAUUAAAUACGAAGUGUCAAGCUCAGCACUCACAGAAGGUGACCUGGACUAGAGCCAGGCCCCCAGCUGAGCCUGUGAUGAGCAUCCAGGAGCUGCUCGAAUGAGGGAUCAAUGACUUGCAAGUUUACCAGGCAGAAUAAUGAAUAGAAGUGGGACAACUGCAAGCAAAAUUGGCAUGAGAAAUGAGGGUACUGAGAGAGUGGCCAAGAGUAGGGCACAGCUGCAGAAAGUUGAGGAACUAGCCCGCUAGAAUCUGACCUGGGAGGUACAAACACAGCGCGGAAAACUUGGUAGUCCUAUGAGGAUUUUGGGGGCAGAGAAAAUACUCUGUAUGAUACCAUAAAGAUGAAUACAUGUCUUUAAACGUUUGUCCAAACCCAUAGAAUGUACAACACCUCUCUGGCGGGGGAUGUUGAUAAUGGGGGAGAUUAUGUUUGUGACGGGCCAGGAAAUCUCUGUACUUUUCCCUCAAUUUUGCUGUGAACCUAAAAUUGCUCUAAAAAAGAAAAAUGAAGUCAAUAAAAAAAAGUUUUUUGUAAGGAAUAAACACACUAAGAUGUUUAUAUGAGCAAUCAUUUUGGUUAGUUUCAAUACAAUGCUAUCUAAAAGAUAUGGCUAGUUGUAUACUUGCAUCUUCUGCUAAAAUGAUAUUUGAACACCUCCAAGGCUAUAAGCUUGCAUGACCAGGAUGAGAAUAGAGCCUAUUGAGAAGCACGAGGAAGAUGAGUUGGAAGAUGAACUGGAAGAUGAGUUGGUUGUAGAGGAAAGAUUAUGAUUUCUACUUAGAAGGACUUUCUAUCUCAAAUAUUCAUACCACUAAAAGAAUGCUGAAUGUUAAUAAUGACAUUUAAUGUUAUAGUAGUAUUAAAAUAGAGUUGCUGUAUUUUUCUUAGAGAGUAAUAAAAAUUGAUAAGGAUUUUGAGACACACUUCUAUUUCUCAUUUAAUUGCACUCUUUGUAUCCACACCAGCCCAUCAAUGUAAGAUAAGAGAAAACACAGGUUUGUAUUACCCAGUUGGAUGCUACGCUGAUAUUUACUAAUAGAACUCUGCUGAUACAGAAGUAGAUAGUAAAAUAAGUUUUAUGUCAAUUGCUCAGGUAUUUUAGGAGGAGAAGAUAAGAUUAUGUUGAAAAGUAAACUGUAAGUUCCUUCGCUGGAGUUGCUGUGAGUUUUUAUUUCUUUACAUGUCCUAGUUUGUGAAAUGCUCACACGUGAGGCAUGCCAGGACCUAAGCCGACAGGGAGGAGACAGAAGCUAGGGAAGGAGCCUGGGAAAUACAACCUAAUGCAAUAGCUGCCGCCACCUGUAGCAGCUAAGUGAUUCAUUGUACAAAAGGCAAGCGUAGCCCCAGUUGAGGUUAUUUCUAAGAUCUAAGGGUGUCCAGCGGUUAAGUGGGGCAGGGAUAAAGUAGAAAGUCAUUGUGUCAGUUCAUACUCAAAAACAAGUGGGCGUCAGCAUCAUUUUAACUAUUUAAUUCAUGGCGGAAAUACAGCCAGUGAACCGGAGGCUGGGGAGGAGUGAGGAGGUAAUGGUCAAAGGAAAGCAAGGUCUAGCCUCUGGGAGGGAAGCUUAAGGUAGAUAAGGAGAUUUGGGGUGGUGUUCAAGCCUAGGUUGGCGGAAGGGGUAUUAAAAUCAUAAGCAGAGGAAAUUGAGGCAUAAUAUGGCUGAGAUGAACUGGCCCAAUUGGUACUCCCAUUAUUAGCAAUAAACAUAAAAGUGAUAAUAGCCACCGUCUAUUGGAUACUUAGUGUGUACCAGUACAUUUUAUACAUCCUCUCAUCUGAAUUCAAGCUGUAAAACAGCCCAAUGAAGUAGUUACUAGGGUCUCCAUUUUUAGAGAUGAGGAAAGUAAUUACUGGAAGAUUUAAUAACUUGAGCAAAGUCAUACAAUUAGUAACAAGCAGAGAUGGAAUUUGAGUGCAGGCUUUCUGAUGCUCACACCGGCGCGCUUGAGUACUACUACAUAGUACUAGGGGUUAAAUUCUCUGACAAAAUUCUGUCCUACUUAGGAUUUGAUGAGGAACUUGAUGACCUGAACCAACCGCUGGAGGGAUCAGAGACAAACUUUAAAGGACUGAAGCAUUCUCUCUUUCUUCCAUACCAUCUAACUCCGGGGCCUUACAUUCCAUUGUUGAAUAUUUAUUGUUCAUUUUCUUAUUGCUUUUAAAUCCAAGUUAGGAAGAUUAAGGAGAGAACAACAACAAAACCUUCUCCUCUGCUAUGCCAGGAUGGAGAUUUAUGCUGCUUGGGAAAAAGAAAUUUUCUUCUCCAGAGAGGCAAGAUGCGAUAUGUAUCUUCCCAUAAAUCAUGAACCUUCAGGAUCCGGCUGUAGUCACCAUCUGUACACGUUUGAACAGUUGGCCAAUUAUGUCAAUUGACCCAAUUUAAUAAAUUUAUGUAUAACUUGAGUUAGACAUCUAGUGGCUAGCUAAAGAAUGUUUGUCUUUUCAGGUGUUCUCUAUUCCUAUGUUUGUCUAGCCUAUAGUAAACACUCAAUAAAAG
rnacentral:lncRNA from 1 species